rnacentral:tRNA from 1 species
GGCUGUAUUGCCUAGUGGAGAGAGUACUGGACUGGGACUCUGGAGAUCUGGUUCGAGUCCAAGUUCUGCCA